rnacentral:rRNA from 1 species
AGUGAACGCUGGCGGUAGGCCUAACACAUGCAAGUCGAACGGCAGCACAGUAAGAGCUUGCUCUUACGGGUGACGAGUGGCGGACGGGUGAGGAAUACAUCGGAAUCUACUUUUUCGUGGGGGAUAACGUAGGGAAACUUACGCUAAUACCGCAUACGACCUACGGGUGAAAGCAGGGGAUCUUCGGACCUUGCGCGAUUGAAUGAGCCGAUGUCGGAUUAGCUAGUUGGCGGGGUAAUGGCCCACCAAGGCGACGAUCCGUAGCUGGUCUGAGAGGAUGACCAGCCACACUGGAACUGAGACACGGUCCAGACUCCUACGGGAGGCAGCAGUGGGGAAUAUUGGACAAUGGGCGCAAGCCUGAUCCAGCCAUACCGCGUGGGUGAAGAAGGCCUUCGGGUUGUAAAGCCCUUUUGUUGGGAAAGAAAAGCAGCAGGUUAAUACCCCGCUGUUCUGACGGUACCCAAAGAAUAAGCACCGGCUAACUUCGUG